rnacentral:tRNA from 1 species
ACCCAGGAGGCUCAGUGGUAAAGAAUGUGUCUCCAACACAGAAGACCCAGGUUCGAUCCCUGGCCUGCGAA